AGUGGCGAAAGGGAUAGGAAUACACUAGAUUAUCUGCCCAAAGGACGUGGAUAGCGGCGGGAAACUGCCGGUAAUACACGAUAAUUUCUCCGGAACAAAGGUGUGAUUCCGCCUUUGGAUGAGUCUAUGUCCUAUUAGCUUGUUGGCGGUGUAAUGGACCACCAAGGCUAUGAUGGGUACGAGGCGUGAGAGCGUGUCCUCGAUCACUGGAACUGAGACACUGUCCAGACACCUACGGGUGGCUGCAGUCGAGAAUCUUCGGCAAUGGACGAAAGUCUGACCGAGCGACGCCGCGUGUGUGAUGAAGGUCUUCGGAUUGUAAAACACUGUAAGUUGGGAGGAAAUGUAUAGGGGUUCUCCCCUAUACUUGACCUAUCUUCAAAGUAAGGACGGGCUAAGUUCGUGCCAGCAGCCGCGGUAAGACGAACUGUCCAAACGUUAUUCGGAAUCACUGGGCUUAAAGGGUGCGUAGGCUGUUUGGUAAGUGAGGUGUGAAAGCCCCCAGCUCAACUGGGGAAUUGCGCUUCAAACUGCCGGACUAGAGGGAUGUAGAGGUAACCGGAACUUGCGGUGGAGCGGUGAAAUGCUUUGAUAUCGCAAGGAACACCGAUGGCGUAGGCAGGUUACUGGGCAUUUUCUGACGCUGAGGCACGAAAGUCAGGGUAGCGAACGGAAUUAGAUACUCCGGUAGUCCUGACCGUAAACGCUGAGCACUUGGUCGAGGGGUACUCCAUAGCUCCUCGGUCGUAGAGGAAUUUGUUAAGUGCUCCGCCUGGGGAGUAUGGUCGCAAGGCUGAACUCAAAGGAAUUUGACAGGGGCUCACACAAGCGGAGGAGGAUGUGG
rnacentral:rRNA from 1 species